rnacentral:rRNA from 1 species
CGCGGCCUAUCAGCUUGUUGGUGGGGUAAUGGCCUACCAAGGCGACGACGGGUAGCCGGCCUGAGAGGGUGACCGGCCACACUGGGACUGAGACACGGCCCAGACUCCUACGGGAGGCAGCAGUGGGGAAUAUUGCACAAUGGGCGCAAGCCUGAUGCAGCGACGCCGCGUGAGGGAUGACGGCCUUCGGGUUGUAAACCUCUUUCGCCAGGGACGAAGCGCGAGUGACGGUACCUGGAUAAGAAGCACCGGCUAACUACGUGCCAGCAGCCGCGGUAAUACGUAGGGUGCGAGCGUUGUCCGGAAUUAUUGGGCGUAAAGAGCUCGUAGGCGGUUUGUCGCGUCGGCUGUGAAAUCCGGAGGCUUAACCUUCAGCGUGCAGUCGAUACGGGCAGACUUGAGUUCGGCAGGGGAGACUGGAAUUCCUGGUGUAGCGGUGAAAUGCGCAGAUAUCAGGAGGAACACCGGUGGCGAAGGCGGGUCUCUGGGCCGAUACUGACGCUGAGGAGCGAAAGCGUGGGGAGCGAACAGGAUUAGAUACCCUGGUAGUCCACGCUGUAAACGUUGGGCGCUAGGUGUGGGCGACAUUCCACGUUGUCCGUGCCGUAGCUAACGCAUUAAGUGCCCCGCCUGGGGAGUACGG